CAGCCGCCGCGGUAACACGUAGGGUGCGAGCGUUAAUCGGAAUUACUGGGCGUAAAGCGUGCGCAGGCGGUUAUAUAAGACAGAUGUGAAAUCCCCGGGCUCAACCUGGGACCUGCAUUUGUGACUGUAUAGCUAGAGUACGGUAGAGGGGGAUGGAAUUCCGCGUGUAGCAGUGAAAUGCGUAGAUAUGCGGAGGAACACCGAUGGCGAAGGCAAUCCCCUGGACCUGUACUGACGCUCAUGCACGAAAGCGUGGGGAGCAAACAGGAUUAGAUACCCGUGUAGUCCCUGUCUCUUAUAA
rnacentral:rRNA from 1 species